rnacentral:rRNA from 1 species
UACGUAGGAUGCAAGCGUUGUCCGGAAUUAUUGGGCGUAAAGAGUUCGUAGGCGGUUGCCUAAGUCUGGUGUUAAAUACAGGAGCUCAACUCCUGCAUGGCACUGGAAACUGGGCGGCUAGAGUGUGGUAGAGGUCACGGGAAUUCCAGGUGUAGCGGUGAAAUGCGUAGAUAUCAGGAGGAACACCGGUGGCGAAGGCGGUUCUCUGGGCAUGAUCUGACGCUGAGGAGCGAAAGUGUGGGGAGCGAACAGG